rnacentral:rRNA from 1 species
AACGAACGCUGGCGGCAUGCUUAACACAUGCAAGUCGAACGCCUGGGUUUCGGCCUGGGAGUGGCGCACGGGUGAGUAGCGCGUGGGAACCUGCCCUUAUGUUCGGGACAACCUUGGGAAACUGAGGCUAAUACCGGAUACGCCCGAUGGCUUUGGCGGUCAUUGGGGAAAGAUUUAUCGCAGAAGGAGGGGCCCGCGUCGGAUUAGGUAGUUGGUGGGGUAACGGCCUACCAAGCCUGUGAUCCGUAGCUGGUCUGAGAGGAUGAUCAGCCACACU